GGCGGGGGGAGCGGCCUGAGGCGGCGGCCGCUGGGGCAGCGCCCGCAGACAUGUCGGCGGCCCCGGGGCGGAGAGUGGAAAAAGCAACUCGUUCUAUACAAAAUAAGAAAGGAUUUACCUCGCAAAACCGGCGUUCGGCUUCCAUUUCCGAUCGGCGCGGCCGCAUCGGGCAGCGUACGCAGACAGGUACGCGCGUUCUCUUGCAGCUCAGCUCAACGCCUCGCGUUUAACGUACACCCACGUGCAAAUAUUUCGGUGCUGACGUGUAAAUAUUUAGCUUUCGCGAACAGAAAGAAGAGCUCCAGAACCGAUCCGUUUCUUCCCCAGCUGCGCAGGGAGCGCGAGCGGACUACCUGAGCCCGCUUCAUUGUAACAAGGUAAGGCUACGCUGUAACAGCUCGCCACUGUCACACCUCGCGGUGCACGCAGACCUCGGAAGCGUUCCCCGCGCGUUGAUUUCUGCCUGCUAAAUCUUGCCCGACGGGAAUGGCAGCGAGCAGAGCCCUGCUGCGUGCCCGCAGAGCGCCCAGCCCCGCUGCUGCAAAGCACUGCUGGGAGCCAGCCCGGCUCUGCCGUCAGGAAGGGGCCCUCGCCCAACCUGUGCCGAGGAAAUAACCGCGCUCAACUUAGAAACGCCGAUCACCCCCUCUACCUUCUCCCUCCUGUUGAAAGGGUCAGUAAUGAAUGGGGGAUGCAAUGUUUUUUUUCCCCUCAAAAGCUCCUGCUUUUACAACUAAGACGCUGCACUUAUUUUCUAGGUUCAGAGUGUUUCUACUCUCACCUUUCCACAGCGAAAACAGACGCACGCUGUUUCUGGCGAGAAAAAUAACAGCAGUGGAAAGAUGCAUAGAUAGAUGUUAUUUUUCUUUUCUUCUUAACUCAGCUCACCCACUUAGAAAAAUCUUUUAUUUAUGACUGGAGCCCUACACGAAGCAAAUGGCAAUCUUUGAGAUCAAAACAUAUCGGUGCACACCCUCAGAACGCAUUAAUACCAUUCACAAAUGGGAACGCAAAUGCCCUCUCACGGCAUCUCACCAAAUGAACGCAGCCACAGCAGCCAAGUCCAAAAUAUGUAAGUUCAACAGAUGUGCUGGUAUAUGCUCACAGCAGAGAGACGCUGGCAUUAUGCUCCUAACCUUAUGUAAAGACUGGGCCUGUGGUAUAAAUGCAUGCAAGUUUAGGAAUCAGAGCCUGCACAGCAAAACUGCUGCUCUGACUACUGUAUAAAAGCAGGUAGUAAAAGCUUAAUUACCAGUAGCAUUAUGCUGUCUAUAUUGUUAAAUGUGAACUCUAUAAUUAAGAUGUAAAUUCGCUUGUGAAUUACAGAGCUCGGAAAUGUAGAGGAAAAUCCAACCACACUGUAGAAACAUCAGAGACCAAAAAUAUAUAUAUAUAUAUCAGUUUUUAUCAAAUUUUAAAAUGAGGCAUUUAAUCGUGUUACAGUAUUAGAAUGCUCUCUGAGGAACAAUUUGAUAAAUGUGGGUUUUGGAAUCAAAUCAAAACUUAAAUAAGAUGUGUUUAUUCUAUGUAUGGGCACCUUUGUAGUGUAUAAGCCCAAAAUACAGUUCCUAUAAAUUGAUUUUCAUGUGCACUUUGGCAAACUAUGAAAAUAGAAUUGUAUUGUUUCUAGUGUCUGAGUGUCCAGUUAUAGAUUUAUAUUCAAAAAUGCUAUUCUUCAAUUUUAUGCUAAAAUACUUUCAAAUCAUUUCAUCUGCAUGUGUUUUCUUACUUUAAGUGACCCAUAUCCAGUCCCUACAGAUAAGUCAUUUCAUAAAGUCACUUCUAUAUAUUAAGUUCCUUAGAAUUUAUCCUCCUUUAUUAGAUCCAUUUUGAAAUGUACCACAGCACAGGUCAGCUUUAUUUUCUACUUUUGUUCAUUAUUUCCUAAGAUUAUGCAUUUAUAUUCAGAUGCUGAAACACAGUGUCUGUUUACUUCUGCGAUGGAAGCUCUCCUUUCCACGUUCCCAUAGGUUCUGCCACCGUGCUGACUUGUUCCCCCCAUACCGUACACCAUCAGAUAUGUUUUUCCUCUCUCUAUAUGCCAUCACCAUGUUUCUAUCAUCCAUCUCUCAUCCAGGCAAGUGGCUCUCUACCCUGCCAGUGCUGCUGCUCAGGCAACCAGAAAUACAGUGCCAUAGUUUACACAUUGAUAAACAAAGCAGUUGGCUUCUUCCCUGGGACUGAAAAUGCCACCUCCACCAGACCGGGGCCUGGAAUUCCAACUACAUUCUUGAACUUGGGUUUCAGUUACCCAUCAGUUUAGAAAAAGAAGAUAAGAAAGAUUACUCCAGGCAAAUAAGCUGGGUGUAAGCAUAGCUUCACCUUCCUAAGCUUUUCUGUAGAAAUAAGUAAAAUAGUACUACAGAAAAGGAGAAAAAAAAAAGCUCAUACAAUUUAACUAAAUUUUAUCUGGGGAUGUAGAGUAAGAACAUGCACGAAAAUGCUCAUCUGCACUAACUUAUCAAAACGAACAGUGUGAAAUCUUACCACAAGGAGUCUGUACAAAACAGUGGUAAUGGAAUCAGAGAGGGGAAGGAAAAAACCAUCCUGGGUGUGUGCACCAGUCAAGGAGCAUUACUGAUCAGCAUCUAUGUUUCCAUCUCUCUGUGCACGUAUGAUUUGUCUUGCGUAUAUUCCAUGUUUAAGUAUCUUCACAUUUAAAUACUACAGACAUUUCAAGCCACGUUCUUACAACACAACUACCUCAAGGCAACUGAAGAAGUAUAAUUCAGUGGCGCUUCACAGAAGCCGCACAGUGAAUUGUGUCAAAUGUGUAUCCACCAAAAGGCAAAGCUCAAAUCAUCUGGCAAGGAGCAAGAAUGUAAAAUACAUUUUAUUAGCUGCAGAGAAUUAAUCUGAAAAUAAGUACACUGUUUACUUAAUGUGACAUGUUGGGGGCUGGACUCGAUGAUCUCCAGAGAUCCCUUGCAACCUCUACAAUUCUGUGGUUCCAUGAAAUUUUGCCAUGCACUAUGGUGUACUAUGGUACCUUAUUCAAAGCAUAGCUGGAGAAUAUUGUUAAGUUUGAAAUAAAUAUCAAGUAAUCAUAAA